ACACAUAGAAACAUGAUGAGGUGUGCAACAAUGGCCAGGAAUAUUACAGCAUUUUUAUUUCAGAAGAUGGGAGACAUUAAGCCCGGGAGACAUUAAGAAGGGCUACCUCAGGAAAACCCAACCUACUCUCAGAAGAAGAUAAGAAUCUGCCAUUUAGAUGACCAAGAGACUGCUUUGGAUUCAUAGGAGAACAUUACUAAUGGAACAGCCUGAUUCCAACAAUCGCUUAUCAAAAAAAUAAUGUCAUCAUAGUAUUAUUUAGAGAGAUGUAGACUAACCUUCCUCUGUAAACCGUCUUUAGGGAUUCAACUGCCAAUCCGGUGGCCACAAUGUCAUCAGCAUUAUGUCUGCGUCCACUAACAAUGAGCAUCCCAUCUAUUUUUCCAACCACAAAUACCAGACUGCCCUAUAAAGAAAAAAGAAAAGAAAAGAAAAAAUGCCUAUCACAAAUGUCAAAUGCUUCCCUUGCCUUUUAUAAAAUGUCUUUUAUUUUAGCCACCAUCCAACUUUGCUGGAAUGUAAAUUCCCCCUUGCACCCCCUGCUUCCACACCCUAGAAAUAUCUACAUUAAAAAAAAAAUUAAAAAGCA